rnacentral:rRNA from 1 species
GUUGGCCCAACUGAUUGAACGUGCUUGCACGGACUUGACGUUGGUUUACCAGCGAGUGGCGGACGGGUGAGUAACACGUAGGUAACCUGCCCCAAAGCGGGGGAUAACAUUUGGAAACAGAUGCUAAUACCGCAUAACAAUUUGAAUCGCAUGAUCCAAAUUUAAAAGAUGGUUUCGGCUAUCACUUUGGGAUGGACCUGCGGCGCAUUAGCUUGUUGGUAGGGUAACGGCCUACCAAGGCUGUGAUGCGUAGCCGAGUUGAGAGACUGAUCGGCCACAAUGGAACUGAGACACGGUCCAUACUCCUACGGGAGGCAGCAGUAGGGAAUCUUCCACAAUGGGCGCAAGCCUGAUGGAGCAACACCGCGUGAGUGAAGAAGGGUUUCGGCUCGUAAAGCUCUGUUGUUAGAGAAGAACGUGCGUGAGAGCAACUGUUCACGCAGUGACGGUAUCUAACCAGAAAGUCACGGCUAACUACGUGCCAGCAGCCGCGGUAAUACGUGGGUGGCAAGCGUUAUCCGGAUUUAUUGGGCGUAAAGCGAGCGCAGGCGGUUUGAUAAGUCUGAUGUGAAAGCCUUUGGCUUAACCAAAGAAGUGCAUCGGAAACUGUCAGACUUGAGUGCAGAAGAGGACAGUGGAACUCCAUGUGUAGCGGUGGAAUGCGUAGAUAUAUGGAAGAACACCAGUGGCG